rnacentral:lncRNA from 1 species
CCCGGACCCACCUCCCCUGCAGCCAUCCCGCACUCUUGAGGGGCCGGGCCCUGGCUGAGCGCUGUUCCUAGGCCCUGGAUGGCGGUGUGGAUCUCCGUCCUUGUCAGGGUAAUUUCCUCUUCUGUUUCCAGCAUUUCGAGUAAAUUCCUUUCUAAUCAUUAGGUGCCCUAGAGAGGACAGAUGCAUGGCUGUGGAGUCUUGUUCUGUGAUAUGUCAGUUUACUUGACGCACGUUCAAAACUGCAAAAUGCUGGUUCCUACCCGUCUCUGAUGUCACCAAAGGCUGCCCAGAGGCCUGCAGCACAUUGACGAUGGUCUUAGUAUUACACAGCUGUCUGACCAGUACCACAAAUCCAGAGUCCAAGCAGCUCAGGUUUGCCUUCUCCCUGUCUGUGUGGGUCCAGCGCCCUGGGCUCAGCAGGGCCUCCUGCUCCUGCUCCUGUAGGGUGGGCUGGGCCUUCCCACACGGGCCUGGGGAGGAGCCUCUCCUAGGUGCUGGCAGGGCCCUGGCCUUUACUUAUUCCCUCUGAUGCCAGCCAGCUACUGCAGCCCUGGUGGCGUCUCCCUGGGGGUGCCCGGGUGCAGGUGUCCGCUGCCGGGCCGUGGGUGUCUCAUUCUGUGUCCGGACCUCUCUGUGAUGUGAACCUUGGGCUUUUUUUUUUUUUUUUUUUUUUUUUCAGAUGUUAAGGGAGUCCACCACAUGUUUCCAUGUUUUACUGUUCCUGGAACUGAAUUUGUUUGUGAUGUGAGUCAGAAAUCCUGUCACAUUUUUCCACGUGGAUAUCCAGGGCCCCCGCCGUUUGUGGGAAGGCCGCACCUUCUGCCCGCUCUGCUGUCCAUCCGCGUGCCCAUCUCCAUGGGUUUCUCUCUGCACGGCUUGUUCUGUCCUGCAUGUCCAUCCUUGAGAUCGUUUUUCUCUGGCUUAAUGAUUACAGCUGUACGUUUCAUUUUCAUGGCUGGGAUCUGCAGGACGAGCUUACAUAUAGGCUCCCAGUUUCUCCGCCUGUGCUGAGACCUUGUUUCCCAGGACCUCGGUGGACUUGGCUUUCAUGACUGGUGCCUCACCCCAGCACAUGUGCCUAAAAUAACAGAAAAAUACAGUGCCUGCAUGUUGGGAGCAAGCCCCCCAAAGUCUGGCCCCAAAACUGGCCAUAAAUAAAAUCUCUGCAGCAAUGUAACAUGUCCAUAAUGGCCAUAAAGCCCAAGCUGGAAGGUUGUGGGUUUACAGGAAUGACGGUAAGGAACACCUGGCCCGCUCAGGGCGGAAAACUGGUUAAAGGCAUUUUUAAGCCAUAAACAAUUAGCCUGAGCGAUCUGUGCCUUAAGGGCGUGUUCCUGCUGCAAUUAAUUCAGCCCAUCCCUUCGUUUCCCUUAAGGGAUACUUUCAGUUAAUUUAAUAUCCAUAGAAACAAUGCUAAUGACUGGUUUGCUGUUAAUAAAUAUGUGGGUAAAUCUCUGUUCGGGGCUCUCAGCUCUGAAGGCUGUGAGACCCCUGAUAUCCCACUUUACACCUCUGUAU